rnacentral:rRNA from 1 species
GACGAACGCUGGCGGCGUGCUUAACACAUGCAGGUCGAACGGAAAGGCCCUGCUUUUGUGGGGUGCUCGAGUGGCGAACGGGUGAGUAACACGCGAGUAACCUGCCCUUGACUUUGGGAUAACUUCAGGAAACUGGGGCUAAUACCGGAUAGGAGCUCCUGCUGCAUGGUGGGGGUUGGAAAGUUUCGGCGGUUGGGGAUGGACUCGCGGCUUAUCAGCUUGUUGGUGGGGUAGUGGCUUACCAAGGCUUUGACGGGUAGCCGGCCUGAGAGGGUGACCGGCCACAUUGGGACUGGGAUACGGCCCAGACUCCUACGGGAGGCAGCAGUGGGGAAUAUUGCACAAUGGGCGGAAGCCUGAUGCAGCAACGCCGCGUGCGGGAUGACGGCCUUCGGGUUGUAAACGGCUUUCGCCUGUGACGAAGCGUGAGUGACGGUAAUGGGUAAAGAAGCACCGGCUAACUACGUG